GUCUUGUACACACCGCCCGUCACACCAUGAGAGUUGGGAAUACCCGAAGCCUGUGAGCUAACUAUAUGAGGCAGCAGUCGAAGGUAGAAUCAAUGAUUGGGGUAAAGUCGUAACAAGGUAGC
rnacentral:rRNA from 1 species